rnacentral:rRNA from 1 species
GACGAACGCUGGCGGCGUGCUUAACACAUGCAAGUCGAACGGUGAAGCGGAGCUUGCUUCGUGGAUAGUGGCGGACGGGUGAGUAACGCGUGGGCAAUCUACCCUAGAGACGGGGAUAACGCCGGGAAACUGGUGCUAAUACCGGAUGAUUUUAUCUCAAGGCAUCUUGAGGUAAGGAAAGGGAGGCCUCUGGAAUAAGCUUCCGCUUUAGGAAGAGCCCGCGUCCCAUUAGCUAGUUGGUAGGGUAACGGCCUACCAAGGCGACGAUGGGUAGCCGGCCUGAGAGGGUGACCGGCCCGAGGGGCACUGAGAUACGGGUCCCACUCCUACGGGAGGCAGCAGGCUAGAAAUUUGGGCAAUGGGGGAAACCCUGACCCAGUGACGCCGCGUGCAGGAAGGAGCCCUUCGGGGUGUAAACUGCUGUCGUGUAGGGAGAAGGGUACUAAGGUGAACAAUCUUAGUACUUGACGGUACUACAGGAGGAAGCCCAGGCUAACCUCGUGCCAGCAGCCGCGGUAAUG